rnacentral:rRNA from 1 species
GACUCGUUACCCUAGCCCUGUCACUUCUGUGGCUGUGUGCUGGUGUAAUCUGUCAUCCUUCCAGAGAGCCGCAAGUACCAUUCAUUUGGCCGCUUGCGUGCGAUCUGGAUCAUUUACUUUGAAAAAAUUAGAGUGUUUAAAGCAGGCUUACGCCUUGAAUACAUUAGCAUGGAAUAAUAACAUAGGACUUCGGUUCUAUUUUGUUGGUUUCUAGGACCUUAGUA